rnacentral:lncRNA from 1 species
GACCAAUCAGGGAGAUUCUUUUGUAAAUACCCACAACCAAUCAGAAGUCUGUAUUUUUAUGCUAAAAGAGAAAUAGCAUUCCAGAGUAAAUUGUAUUCAAAUUUAUCUUUUUAAAUUUAGGGUGUGUUGUAGCUUUUAUUUCGCCGUCCUGGUGUAGUUUACUUGAAGUCCUUGCCUUUUUGUGAAAAGAAGUACAUUAAAGAUCAAGCAUAACAUCCGAAGCUAAAGACAUUAAGGUUUGUUCUGUUUCUAUCAAUUUGAUGGGAAAUGUUGAUAUUUUAGCAAGUUAGUCAAAUUUGACUAUAGCAAGUCAGUCGCGGCCAUGUUACAUGGUGCAAUUUUUCUUGCAACUUGCAAGGCAAUUCUACUCUUGAGAGAUGUAAAAUUACCAAAUACAAGUUUUCACUAUACUCGCUGAUGUUUUCUCAACAUAUCGAAAAUUCUUCACAGAUUUUACUAAUUAACAUCUCUCAAGAGUAGAAUUGCAUUGCAAGUUGCAAGAAAAAUUGCACCGUGUAACAUGGCCUUUAGCAUUCGACGUUUUGUUCUGGGACGUUAUGUUACAUUUAUUUAAUUAAAUCAAACAUUGCAAAAAAUUUUUGGGACACCCGGGAUUAGGGUUGGGUGAUAUUUCAGUAUUUUGAUUUAUCACGAUAUUUUCAUUUGCGAUUAUCAUGUCAAAGGUAGAAACUUGAGCGACGAUAUAUCGAAAUUAUCAUCAUGCUCGAUGACUAUCAUUAUACUGCUUCACAUGUGUAUAUAGCUUUUAUAAAAUCUUAAAAAAUUCUUUCAAUUCCUAGAAAAUAUAGUUUUUAAAAGAAUUAAAAUUAUUUUCUGAAUGUAAUACGAAUUUAAGGUGGCUCCCUAGGGGUUUUUAAUUUACUACACUAUAGUAUUCAGGAGACUCCUGUUUCUUAACUUUACAUGGCAUGAGAACGAAAUUUAUUGGACACAUUGACAAUGUUCUCCUGAACAUUGCAAAUUGCUACUUUUGUGUUAAAAAUAUGUUGUCAUGGCAACAGCAUGCUUAGAAUGUCUUUUUCAGGUCAUUUUAAAAAUUUCCUUUGGUGAAAUUUUUUAAAACUUUAAAUAAAAGAUAAUAUUUGUAUAAUGAUUUUCCCCCCUCAAUUUAAAAAAAUUAAAUCGAUACGUUUCUUAGAAAAUUUAAAAAACGUCAAAAAUCAAUAUUAAAAAUUUUUGCUUCGAUUUAAUUUUAAGAAAAAAGGAUAUUGCAGUUGUUGUGCCGACAUUAAAAAAUGUGCAAAGUUUUAAAAAAUGUUACCGAAGGAAAACAGAGAAAAAUUUGGGUUUAAUUUUGGCAAUUUUUACUAGAUUUUUACGCGAACAAUUUACCCCCAAUUGACGUGUACAUGCAUGCUGCAAAACAAGGCAUGACUUUUUUGAAAUCACAAAAUAUAAAUUAAUAUGGUUGAAUUGAUAUACUGUUUAUAAUUGUGUUGGUAGCCUGCGUAGCGGCUCUCAGAGAAAGUAGGCUACUGUGUCGGUUAAUAGUCAACUAAGCGUGGAUUAUACAUGUAAAAAUAGCAAAGAUAUUUAGGUAAUUACUGGUUAUGACUUCUUGGUAUUUGAAAAAAUGUUUGUCAAAAUUCGUCCCGUGCGAGUUUAUAGUACUAUCGUCGGAUGUUUUCGCAAAAUGCCCAUUCAAAUUUCAGUUUUUAUAGUGGUAUGUUUGGAGUUUCAGCCCUGCUCAUUUCACCCGUAGAGGGCUCAUUAUUUAAGUCAUCUUUAUUGUCAUAAGUGCUGCUAGAUUGUAGAGAAAACACUGCAAAUUCUUGAGGAAACUUUAUAUCAUAUCCCAAUGUUUGCGAUCGAACCUCACAUAUCUUCUUUUCAAACAUCACAUCCAAGUAUCGUUUUGGCUUUUAGAACUCUUUUAUGCUUUCAACUAAAGCAAAGUUCACACUUUUGUUUCAAAAAAGAGUUCCAUAUAAAACACAAUGUUACAGUUUGUCUUCCAUAUAAAACACAACGUUACAGUUUGUUCGUAUUUUAGUUUACAUAUAUACGAAGAAUGUAACCCCGGAAAUAAAACCCUAGGGAGCCACCUUAAUACGAUUCAAAAGCUAAUAUUUAUGUAUCAAUUCGCUGAACAAUGAAAUUGCAAUGAAAUACACAGCAUUUGUGCCAGGGGAGACACAGUAUAGACAAUUCUCAAUUCUGGUUUAUGAGCAGUAAAUAUUAGACUAGAAAAAGCCUUCAUAUUACUUUGAUUUGUUGUUUUACUUGUUUUUAAUAAGAUUAUAUAUAAGCUUACUAUGCUUUGAUAUAAUUAAAAUUGAAAAAUGGGGCCAUUGUUUUUAUUGCAUUUAUCGCGAUAUUAUCGAAUAUCGUGAUAAUUUCCUUGACAUUCAUGAGAUGAUUUUUUAAUAUCGCCCAACCCUACUCGGGAUACAGUCAUCCUUUGUAAAGCGAUGAUUGGGCUAGGGGUGCACUGGAUUUCAAUUUCGGCCGGAUUUAACGAAUUUUCCGGCUUCCGGCCAGAUUUGGAGAAAAUCCGGCCGGAUUUCAAUUUCUGUUUUCAGCUUAAAAAAUUCACCAAGAAUGGGAUAAACCAUCAAUUUGGCAGCUUUAAAGUUUAAAAAACCCUUAUAAAAUAUUAAGUUAUUAACAAAAAGAUAUUUAAAAAAGGUUUAAACACAAUCAAAAAUCUAAACUGACGCUAACUAAAAAUAGUAAAAAACAUAAACCGUCAUUUUGAAUACUGAUUUAUCCCCCAAUUGUCCCCAUUACCGGUUUAUCUCAAAUCCGGCCGGAAUUUUUGUCCAAAUCCGGUUCCGGCCGGAUUUGAAAAUUCCAAAUCCAGUGCACCCGUAGAUUGGGCUAAGAAAAUUUCAAUAUGUCAUUGCUGUUGAAAUGACUUAAUUCAUCACUAAGGGACUGCUCAUAAUUUAUUGUACAGGGGGGGACUGAGGAGAAACUCUACAAUUAUAAUAUUUCUCGUUGCCUCCCUCUUAAGACAAGUAAAAUUUUCAAAGCCCCCCCCCCCACUUUUUAUUAAUGUUGGUCCUGCCCCCCUCUAGCUUUGUAUCUUUAUUUAGAGAAACAAAAACUCUAGCUCUUUAUUUAAAGAAACAAAAAUAGAUAAUGGGGACCAAUAGACAAUUCCCAUUAUAGACUAAUUUUUUAUCCUUAGCAAAAAAGUAUAUUCCCGGGAAGGGUAUACUAAAAUUAAUAAAAUUGCAAAGUUUGGUUGCGAAAUGUUGUAAAAUGUAGAAAAUAUAGCCUUGCAAAGUUUGCAAAUUUUGUAUACUUUUACAUUGCAAUUUUUGCAUGCAAUACAAAAGUAUACAAAAUUUGCAAGGCUAUAUUUUCUGUAGCUAUGGUGAUUUAUUUGCAUCAAGGCCGGGUUUUGAGGGGAGGUGUGUGGAGACGUGCGCACCUUCCCCUGAGUUUGUUUUGCACCUCCCGAGAAUUUUUGCACCUCCUGAAAGGUCAUGCACCUCCCCUUGGGAAAGUUUCAGUGAUAGAACUGGGAUCAUGCAAACAGCACAUUUAGCAAUUAAGUUGAUUUGCACCCUAAUUUACCUACUUAUUUAAGCAGGGGGCGCACUGGCAGUUAAUGGGUAACUAGACAGACACAUGGGCAUUGGGCAGUCUCAUUAUGAAGCAUAAAAUCGUCUGGCGCUGGACAGUAAAAUACUCAAGCAGAGCAUGCACCAGGGCAAAGUAUACAACCUAAUGGUUCAAACAAUUUGUUUUUUGUAGCAAAAUGGUUUUAAGUUUAUAUCUGAAUUAAUUAUUGAUUUUUUGCAUUGUUUUACAGAUCAUUACUGAACAUGCUGAUGAAUUGUGAUUAUACUAAAUGGAUACAAAAUGUGAUGGUUGCUUAGGAUCUACACUUUGUGAUGUAAGAAAGUUUUCUGUGUGUCAAGUACCCUUUUAAUGCAAUGUUUUGAAAGAAACUCUGUAGCAAUUGUAAUGAAGGGCGAGAUUGGAGUCAUACAGUCAUAAUUCAUUAAUACACUUAUUAUGUACACUACAUGCAUACCUCACCUCAUUGAUAUUGGCCUGUUGUACAAUAAGCCCUAACUUUCCAUGGGGGGGGGGGGGGGGGGGGUUGUGAGCUAGACGCUGCACCUCCCCUAAAUUUUUUUUCUACCUCCCCACUAUUUUCAUUGCAUCUCUGCCUAGUUCUAAAAUUAGUCUAUAAUGGGAAUUGUCUAUUUACAUGAACAUAAGAGACUUUUUGUUUGGCUUCCAUUUAUGAAUAUUAAAGUCUAUAAACAUUGUUAUUUGCUGUUAAGUUGUUUUGUUACAUUUUUAAAACUGUUUUUUCAAACUGGUAAAUCUUUUCAAAGCCCCCCUUCUUCCUUCUAAGGUUUUAAAAAAUUUAAAGGCCCCCAGUUUCUCCUCCCCCCCCCNNNNNNNNNNNNNNNNNNNNUGUCCCUAACAAUACUCCUAUUUAUCUUAGAGAACAGUAAUUCAACUAUCUGGCUUGACAAAGAAACUAUACACCAACAAUGUGUACAAGGCAAUUGAGUGUAUCCUUGAAAAUUUUCUCUGAGAUUAUGCAGUCAUGUUUACAUGUGUUGCUCAGUUGGAUUUGCAGAAGAAGUACUUGAAAGGUCAGUUUUUAAGUGGGUUCUCACUUUUCUCAGAAUUUUUCAAAAAUAUCCUGUGGUUCUCCCUUUGAUUAGCCUACAGUUGCCUGUGGUUCCCUGUUUGCAAAUGACCAUUUGCAAUUAAAAGAAUGGUUUUGGACAAUUUUCAGAAAGUUUGGAGUAGGCUUGUGCAAUUUUAGAAUUUUUCAAAAAUAUCCUCUGUUCCCCCCUUUUGAUUUGACCAAAAUAUUCCAAUUCAUGUUUUUAUCAUUUGAAAGUAAUUGUUUUGAUUAAAAGAACAAUUGACAAUUUUCAGAAGGUUCGGCAUUAUUUUUCUAGUUAUAGACUCAUAAUUUUGCGACAGAACUUCUAGUUAUAGACUUGAUAAUCUUUACCAUGAGAUUGUGUGGACAACAUAGUUUGAGUUCUUUUAACCAUCCUUGAACUUUUGUUCAAGCCUAGUGACUUAUUUCUGUACAUGAAAAUCAUCCCACCUUUCAUCCUGUCCUGACAAACUGGGAUCAUGUAGACAGCACAUUUAGCCAUUAAGUUGAUUUGCAACCUAAUUUACCUACUUAUAUUAUUUAACUCUGUCUAACGUCAGACAAUUUUAUUAAGAAGGGGGCGCACUGGCAGUUAAUGGGGUAUAAACUAGGCACAUUGGCAUUCUCAUUAUGAAGCAUAAAAUCGUCUGGCGUUGGACAGUAUAAAAUACUCAAGUAGAGCAUGCAUCAGGGCACAGUAUACAACCUAAUGGUUUAAUUUCUUUUUGUAGCAAAAUGGUUUAAGUUUUAUAUCUGAAUUAAUUCAUUUUUUCCUUGUUUUACAGAUCAUUACUGAUGAAUUGUGACUAUACUAAAUGGAUACAAAGAGACUAUGAUGGAUAAAUAUGGCCCCGUAAUGGGAUAUUCAGUUGAUGGACAUACAAAGGUUGCAGAAAUGUCUACUUUCAGGUACUGUUGUUUCUUGUUUGCCUGCAAACAGGCUGUAGAUACUUGUUACAAUGAAAUCCGGCAUAAAUCCUGGCGGUCUAAAUGUUCAGUAUAUUUACACAUUCGAUCUAUUUUCUGUUCAGUAGACUUUGAUAGCUUCAAUGAAAGUUUACGAUGACUUUCUUUGCAAAAACUGUACUUUCGAAGUUCGUCAGCUUCUGAAUUUGAAAACGGAUCUGAA